rnacentral:tRNA from 1 species
GCGCCAGUAGCUCAGCUGGAUAGAGUACCUGGCUACGAACCAGGCGGUCAGGGGUUCGACUCCCUUCUGGCGCACCA